UAGGAGCUAGAUUUGAGGCUUCUGCUAUGACAUGCUUUUUCCACUGAGAGGCAUUCCUAGAUCUUUGUUUGAUAGAAUCAGCCAUCUGAGAGAGAAGGGAGGAAAAGCCCUUUAGAAAUUCACUUCACUUCUCAUUUGAAAAUAAGUGUCAAUGGCCACUGAUGAGUCAUAUAUGAAUUUAAAGCUAGAGGAAUGUUUUAGUGUGAAGUGCAUUUCAGGCAGUACAAUCUUUAUAUCCUUUCAAGUUGUGAUUAUUUCUUUUCUAGUGCUAUCAUUAUAUGAAGCUAGCUAUCUAUGCAUCAAGAAAAACUACACAGCUCCCUUUAUGAAACAGUAUAAGUUUACAGCAGGAAAGAAAAUAAGAAAGUAUAGAAAUAAUUCCAUCUUUGUGGACAAAAGAAAUAAACCCUCUUUUUGGAGCUGUUAUGGUGGACUGAAUGUACUUCAUCUCCAGCAAUGGGAAGAAGGGGUAGGAUUCAGCAUACUCCCUUUCAAAGGACUGAUACAGAGGCAUAGAGGGGAAGGAAGAUCCUCUGUGAUUCUGGAUGGCAGAGCUCUACUGGAUCAGAGUUGGCAGCAGCCAGCGGCGCCAGGAUGUCUGCAUCAGGGUAGUCAACCAGCAGCUCCAGAGAUGGUGUCUUCGUGAGGGUUUUGGAUUUUACAGCCAUGAUCAGCACGUCCAGGGAGGAGGCUUCCUGGGAUGGGACGAUCUUCAUCUCUCUCCUAGAGGUCACACUGCCUUAACACAGGAGCUGAGGCAGAUGUCAUCUGUCUGGACUUUAAGAAGGCCUUUGAUACAGUUUUGCAUACUAUUCUCAUAAAGAAGCCAGCAGGCUGUGGAGUGGACAAUUACACAGUCAGGAACCAGAAUUUAAGCAGUAGGAGGAAAGGGAAGCAUUUCUGUGAAAACACAUAGCAGUUCAUCUGCUUGAUUAAAGAUCCCUCUCAGAAAGAAUCUGGACAGCUGGAGCUUGAUUGGAAAACAGACCAGAGCAGCACCAUCUGAUGUCCUAGGGUGUAUUCAGGGCAUCAUCAAACUCCUGAGCCACUUAACCCACAUCUUUGCCAGCUGGGUACACAGUGCCCAUGAUGCUCACAUCUUCCACAACUUCCUGCUCCUGGUUUCCCUGAUUUCAUCAUCAGUGAUGUCAUUAUCCUCCCCUCACAUUCAUUGAGGACCUGAUCGACCCCCUCCUGCCCUGGCUGAUGAAGCCAUGUGCGGGGCAGCUGGACUGCUGGAAGGAGCACUUAAACUACUUCCUGAGUAGGUGCUGCAUGAUGGUGGAGUAUGCCUUUGGCCACCUCAAGGUAUGCUGGUGGGCUGCUCUCAGUGUGUGCCUUGAAGUGGAUGAUUCAUUCUUUCUGUGUGUCCUCUACAACAUCUGUGAGACUAGGGGAGAGGUCUUCUCUGAAGUCUGGGCCAAGAGGGCAGGGCACAUAAACUGGGCCUGGCAGUGCAAGCACAUGUGGCAUAAGAAUGGGGGAGAAGGUGAGCCUCCUGCCAAUUUUGGGGGGCUCUGGUCCUGCACAAUCGCAGGCUGUCUAGAUCUGUGAAGCCCUGGCUUACUACUUUUUCACUUGUGGACUGGGAGCCCUCCCUGGAUGAGAAGAGAGGGAUGGCUUUUCAUGCCCCUGCUCUGGCACAAGGCCAUGGAUUUCCUGCUCCAGGCUCCUUUGGCCCUGCAUCCGGGGAGCACUGCCCAUAGUCCAGGCUUCCCUGGCACCAUUCCCCUUCCCUUCUCUCCCUGCCCCGCCCUGAUGCAGGGGAAUGUGGCACAUGGAAGUGAUAUGACUUAAUUUAAUAAAAUGU